UACGUAGGGGGCUAGCGUUGUCCGGAAUCAUUGGGCGUAAAGAGCGUGUAGGCGGCCCGGUAAGUCCGCUGUAAAAGUCAAAGGCUCAACCUUUGAAUGUCAGUGGAUACUGCCGGGCUAGAGUCCGGAAGAGGCGAGUGGAACUCCUGGUGUAGCGGUGGAAUGCGCAGAUAUCAGGAAGAACACCAGCGGCGAAGGCGGCGCUCUGGGCCGGUACUGACGCUGAGGAGCGAAAGCGUGGGUAGCAAACAGG
rnacentral:rRNA from 1 species